GAUGAACGCUGACAGAAUGCUUAACACAUGCAAGUCUACUUGAUCUUUCGGGUGAAGGUGGCGGACGGGUGAGUAACGCGUAAAGAACUUGCCUUACAGACUGGGACAACAUUUGGAAACGAAUGCUAAUACCGGAUAUUAUGACUGGGUCGCAUGAUCUGGUUAUGAAAGCUAUAUGCGCUGUGAGAGAGCUUUGCGUCCCAUUAGUUAGUUGGUGAGGUAACGGCUCACCAAGACGAUGAUGGGUAGCCGGCCUGAGAGGGUGAACGGCCACAAGGGGACUGAGACACGGCCCUUACUCCUACGGGAGGCAGCAGUGGGGAAUAUUGGACAAUGGACCAAGAGUCUGAUCCAGCAAUUCUGUGUGCACGAAGAAGUUUUUCGGAAUGUAAAGUGCUUUCAGUUGGGAAGAAGUCAGUGACGGUACCAACAGAAGAAGCGACGGCUAAAUACGUGCCAGCAGCCGCAGUAA
rnacentral:rRNA from 1 species